UUCGGGACUGAUUAUUUUGUGACUGAGUGGCGGACGGGUGAGUAACGCGUGGGUAACCUGCCUUGUACAGGGGGAUAACAGUUAGAAAUGACUGCUAAUACCGCAUAAGCGCACGGUGUCGCAUGACACAGUGUGAAAAACUCCGGUGGUAUGAGAUGGACCCGCGUCUGAUUAGCUAGUUGGCGAGGUAACGGCCCACCAAGGCGACGAUCAGUAGCCGACCUGAGAGGGUGAUCGGCCACAUUGGAACUGAGAGACGGUCCAGACUCC
rnacentral:rRNA from 1 species